UUUGUGCUCUGGUUUGUAAUAAAAAUAACUUUGAGGUUUUUUAUUCUGCUCUAAAUUCUGUCAUAAGUUUUUACCGCUCCUUUGGCGCCUUUUAGUUUUCACUUUAGACUUUGAUAAAUGUUUGAUUUAAACCUGAAGUGGGAAAAGCUUUUUAUAGUUGAUUCAAAACAAACGGAUAUCCCAAAAUCAUGAGGAGUAAAACUGAAGCAGUUGGGUUUAGGUAACGUCAGGAGGGAGUUUAGUCUCGGUCUUAAACUGUAGUCCCUCUAAUCCUGAGUCCUCUGGAUCCAUCUGUUUCAAGAGAUAAAAUUAGCAGUCAAGAAGAGGUACAACCAUGGGCGUGUCCAGACCUUUUAGACUGGGGUGGCCAAACCCAGGCAUGGACACUGUUGGGGUGGCCAAGACAAUAAAUUUAUAGUUUAAAUGCUAUAGAUGAUUGUUGCAGCAAAUACAACCCAGACUCAUUUUUCUGGUUUAUAAGGACAUACAGGAUAUUUUCACUGAAGUCUGACUUUGCUUGGCUUCUUCUUUUAGUUGUUUCUUGGUCGCAGCACCCCUCGCAGGUCAGACAUUUCAGAUCUACUUCCUGCUCUCAGGAACAAUCACCAGGACCGUGCAGACGUUCAUGUAAAACUCUGUGUGAACUCCAGGAGACACUCAUUAGAUCACUGAGACUCUCAGUCUGUUUUAAAUGAUCAUCAGUCCUGAAAUCGUUUGUCCUCCAUCUGCUUCUUUCUCCUGCUUUUAACUUUGUACCAACUUUGCUUUUAAGCAGCAGCCACUCCUGACUUUUAUAUCCUUGGCCUGAUGUUUUAAAGUUGCUGAGGAUUUUUUAUGCCUACUUUACAGUCUCUUCCUCUGCCUGUAUGAGUGUGUGUGUGAGUCACUGUCUGUCCAGGUGAUCUUUGGAAAGUCCGUCAGGUUUUUUAUGAUAUUUGAAUAGAUCUUCAUUGUGACUGUGACAGAAAGUUCCUGUGGACAUUUAUUACAGAUAAUGAGACGGACUGAAGGACAGACAGUCGGCAGAGAAAGGUCACUUUCUGAUGGCUGCUCAGAGCUCAGGGACUCCGAGCUCCUUAUUGCUCAUUUUAUUGAGUGAUGUGACAUUCGGGUCAAGACGAAAUCUGAACCAAAUACCAGACGGCGUUAAAUCUCCCACUCAGGAGACAGAGUGAACUCUGAAGGGGUUUGAUCGACUGUUUAGGCGGAUCUUUGUCCUCGGGGAUGACUUCUGUUUCAGAGCUUAAACUAAUGAAUUUCUGUAGAUCAUACCUUAUUAAAAAAAAAACAGGAUUUGCACCAGAAGAAGGACAACAAACAGGUGUUAUUCAUAGUCCGCUAAUUCAGCCAAUGUUUGAGUGAGAUGGCGGAUUGGACAGUGAUAACUUUUGAGUGAUGUUACAGUAAAAUCCAUGCUGUACCUGAAGGAUAGCUUCUCAGUUGCUAAAAACUCCAUUUCAAAAUUGAAGACACCUGCACCUGCUACCUGAGGAGACUUUUUUGCACUUGUAUUUGGCUGUGUGCUUUAAAAAAAAAAGGCAUUUGCACUUUUUACAACUUUUAAAGUCUGACCUUGUUCAUGGGUUCACCGGAGCUGCAAGUUUGACCAUGGUUCGAGGCCAUUGAGACCUUGUUUUGCAAUGUUUUCAUCAAAGCAGCUGAGCUGAACACUGUGUGCCUCCAGGUUUGCAGGAAGACUGUCAGCGGUAAAGAUUAUGGGCUGUAAAAUAGCUCAUGCAUCUGCUGUAGAGUUGAUAAUCUCCUAACUUGCCCAGAGGCAGGGAUAGGACACAUCCUUUCUGUUUAAUAUGCAUGUAUGGAAAAGUUAGGCAGGGAGAGCAGCAGCAAAAACCAAAAACAGAUCAGGGAUCAGUGACGCUAACAAAGUCAGACACAGCAGUGAAAAGAGGAGCUGAGGUGGAGGCGGGUUGUAGCUACAGCAUUUUUCAACUGAAUGAUGUUUGUGUUGACUUUAUGGCCUGCCUGGACUAACACGAUGCUCAAUAUUGGGGGAUGUGGUCGACGCCAGAGAAUCAUGUUUUUUUUAAGGGCCUCCAGCUUAUUUUGGUGAGUUGUUACCAGAGGUGACCCACAUUCAUGCAGGCUUCUUUAAAACGUGACCAAGUUUAUGAAAUCACUCAUGAGGAAGUGAAAGAUAAAGACCAUAACUUUCUGUUCUCAAAGAUACGAGCAAAAUUUGAUCCUGUACGGCUGCUUCCUGUUUUAUAUUUACUGACUGUUCUGUGUGACAGUUUUACAGCACCGAGUACUUAAAAGAGGACCUUGAUAGAAGUAGUUCAGGUCUGGAUUUGGUGGAUUUAACUCAUGCUCCAUUUAAACUUCACCCGGUUACUUGACCGACUGGACGGCUGGACAGCUGGGAUGAUCUUGUUGCAGAGAGUGAGUAAAAACGCCUGUCACAGAGGAGGAAAGAUUGAGAUGGAUGGUAUUUCAGGCAGUUAAACUUUGUGAAUAUGUUUGUCUUUCUUCUUUAUGCAGUUUUGUUUCAGUCAGAGGCCUUGAACCUUUGGUCGUAGUGACUUUUAGCAGGACAAACGUCCAUGAAAUAUCAUCCAGUGUCAGCUGAUAUUUGUAAUCUAUAACAGGACUCAGGGUCAGAUAUCUUUCUGAAAACUCUCUCCGUCUUUAUGGUUUGGUAUUUCUUUGUGAUGGGAGAUUUUGUGAGGGAUUUUAGUCUGUGUACAGUCUGUGUAAAGACUGAUUAUUUUUUAUGAUACAGUCAUUAAUGCGAAGAUAUUUUAUUGUCUAUUAAAAGUCUGCGACUUGGCCAAAUAAUUCAGCACCACAAAGUAUCGAGACUUAGUGAUCCCAGAAAACAAAAGUUUCUCUCGUCGUCACCACUUUUUCUUUCUUUCCUUUUCCUUUAUUCCCUACGUUGAAAGCUGUUGUCUCGUGUUUCCAUCUUUUUGCUUCCCUCUCCACCUUUGCAACUGCCAUGAAUGAUUCAAGCUAUCACCCUAAGUCCUUGAUCGAUACCUUAAUGAACCUUUAACAAUAGUUUGGGCGGUGCAUGCAAAUGCAAAUUGCCAAUAAACCUCGUCGGACUUCUUUAGUGGAGAGUAAAUGGGCUAUUGAAGCUGCAGAGUGUCCCUGCAUGUGCGCUCAGAGACUGCAGGAUGUUCAUUAUCACCAGUUUGGCAAAUUAGGCGUAUCGCUCAAACAGCUUUAGCCAAGUCGUCCUGAAACAGGUACAAGCGUGAAUAUGAGGCUGAAUCUGACCCAGGAAAUACAGGAGAGGCAUCCAUCCUGUUAUUGAGACUCAGAAGUCUCAAGCCUCUCGUCAAACUCAGAUUAGCAUUUAAAUUAAACUGGAAAAUUCAUCAAGAGUGAAGGAAGUGUUCGUCCUCGUCCUCGUCUGGGUGCAGGAAAAACACCGUCUCCUCUGCCAGCCACCCACCUUGGCUCUCAGCAGCUCCAUUCUUCCUCAGAGUAUUUCCCCGCCUGCAGAGCUGCACAGUUGGCAGCAGGUUUGCUCCUCAGCAACAACAGAGUGACAGGCAGAUUUGAUUACCGCUGUCAGAGAGAUCCAAACAGCAUGCCUGCACUUGGACGGAAAACUCCAGAGCGAGUCAGUCCAGAUGUCUGAAGGGUGGUUUCUGUCGCCGCUUUAAAACAGAGUUAAGAGGAAAGUUGUGAGUGAUGUCUGUUUGGUCUGAGGGGGAGGUCUCUGAACACAGAGGCAAGAAAUGUCCAAUAGCAUGAGUACACUGACCUUUUUACUCUAUUUGACUCAAAAUUGAGCAAAAAUGAGCCCUGAGUCUGGCAAAAGAAGUUCUGAGUUUGCUCCGUAUCAUAUUUACCUCCAUAUCACACAAAGGUCAAAGGAAAACUGUUCUAUUUUUUUUCCAUGCAGCCUUUUAUACUCAGUAUCUAAUCAUAAGAACAUUCCUCUGGAGUUAAAGCUUAAAAAAGGCCCUCUUUUGUGUUUGUAUGUGGGGUCAGACAUGUUGUGUGUAGAUGGUAUUUUCCAGACAGUCCUCCAAGUUGAACAUCAAACCAACGUCCCUCCAGCUGUUUUCUUUGCAUGAACUGUCCAAUCAGAGCUCUGGCCUUUCUAUUAGCCUCGCAUAGUUACCCAACAAAUUCAGCUGUGUGCAGUAAAAUAUUGCUAUGUUUGUUUUCUGCAAUUUGUGUCGUGAUAGUAAGAAAUACAGGCAUUUAUACCAGAUAAAUAAUAAUAAUAAUAAUAAUAAUGCAUUUUAUUUAUAGGUGCCUUUCAAA